CAAAAAAAAAAAACCGCCUCUGUCCUGCGCCCUCACCCAAUGCACCGGCCUACUCUCUAUCUCAUUCCGGGCGUCGCCUCCGGUUGCCAGGCAACGAGAGCGCGCGCAGCAAAGAGAAGGCAGGACUGAUGGAUGAGGAAAUCCAGGUUCGGACCGACGGCGUGACUUGCUGAAGAUCUCACAGCUAACAAGAGAAAACGCAGUGAAUGGCUUAAAUAGAAUUUCAGCUUUGGGGGCUCACGACUGAGAGGCUUCUUCCUUGAUUACCCUGGGAAGGACGAAAUCUUCAUUCUUGGUUUGCAAGACCAUGAAAACAAGACAGUCUUUUGAUGUAUUGUGUCUGGAGCUGGUUCCUUCUGGUGGGUUCGUGGUCUCGCUGACUUCAAGAAUGAAGCCUCCGACCUUCA